CCUGCUUCUCCCGUGAAAUGAAUUUCUGUCGAAGCCGCUUGAGAAUCUUCACUGAAUGUAUUAGAUGGUUUUCACUAUUCUUCAGAAACUGUUAAUUCUUUAAAAACAAGCCUCAUGCUUCUUGCUACCUAUCUGGGAUGUGUCAGAUCCAGCCGUCCUCAGUGCCCAGCGGUGCAGCCCUGAGCACAACAUCCAGCUUUGCUAAGUUGCUCUGCUGUCCCCAAUUCACCAGAAGAUUUGUGAGUUCACGGAAGUUUUGCUGGGGUGGAAACAUCUUUCACUAAGGAGCGGAAAGAGUU